AUGAAACAGAGUUAUUAUUGUCUUAGAAACAGUGAAGUCACUGCCAUCGCCAUGAGAGUGGAGCAGCAUCACUAUAAGAUGUGGCGGAUUGGUGGGUCCCGGGUCAAAAAGUGCCCAAGACUCGCGCAACCAAGUUUUCUGGAGGCCGAGCAACAUGACAUAGCCACGGACAAAAUGGAGGAAGGGAAGGGUGUGGAGGAGAGGGGAAUUUACCACUUCGCGCAACGGCAACGUUGCGUGAGGGGCAUUCAUCUUCCACCUGAGCCGCAUAUGCAACUAAUUUUCAAUAAACAUUCUUGCAAGAGCAAGAGGCUCGCCACUGUUGGUCGUUAG
rnacentral:rRNA from 1 species